rnacentral:lncRNA from 1 species
GCAGUGCAUGGGAAACACAACUACUUCCCUCCUCCACAACCCCUGUGUCUGAUGUGGACCUGUCAAUCAGCUGCUCAGCCAAUGAGGAGUGGAGGGUGAGGUGCUCCUCCAAUGGGGACAGUCCUCAGUACAGCUGGUACCUGGAUGGGAGGCCUCUGAGUGAAGCUGAUGCUGAUCUCAGUGCAGAUAUCCAGACUCUCCUGCUGAAUGGGAAUGUGACUGGAGAACUCACCUGCAGCGUCUCAAACCACGUCAACAGCACAAACACCUCAGUUCUGCUGCUGGACGUCUGCUCUGGUACACCAGACUUAUGGAACUCUUAUGCUGUC